GAUGGUUGUCGUCAGCUCGUGUCGUGAGAUGUUGGGUUAAGUCCCGCAACGAGCGCAACCCUCGACCUUAGUUGCCAGCAUUCAGUUGGGCACUCUAAGGUGACUGCCGGCUAAAAGUCGGAGGAAGGUGGGGAUGACGUCAAAUCAUCAUGCCCCUUAUGACCUGGGCUACACACGUGCUACAAUGGGCGGUACAAAGGGUCGCGAACCCGCGAGGGGGAGCCAAUCCCAAAAAGCCGCUCUCAGUUCGGAUUGCAGGCUGCAACUCGCCUGCAUGAAGCCGGAAUCGCUAGUAAUCGCGGAUCAGCAUGCCGCGGUGAAUACGUUCCCGGGCCUU
rnacentral:rRNA from 1 species